GACGAACGCUGGCGGAAUGCUUUACACAUGCAAGUCGAACGGCAGCACGGGGGCAACCCUGGUGGCGAGUGGCGAACGGGUGAGUAAUACAUCGGAACGUGCCCAGUCGUGGGGGAUAACUACGCGAAAGCGUAGCUAAUACCGCAUGAGAUCUGUGGAUGAAAGCGGGGGACCUGCGGGCCUCGCGCGAUUGGAGCGUCCGAUGGCAGAUGAGGUAGUUGGUGGGGUAAAGGCUCACCAAGCCGACGAUCUGUAGCUGGUCCGAGAGGACGACCAGCCACACUGGGACUGAGACACGGCCCAGACUCCUACGGGAGGCAGCGGUGGGGAAUUUUGGACAAUGGGCGCAAGCCUGAUCCAGCCAUUCCGCGUGCAGGAUGAAGGCCCUCGGGUUGUAAACUGCUUUUGUACGGAACGAAAAGGCUCUGGUUAAUACCUGGAGCCGAUGACGGUACCGUAAGAAUAAGCACCGGCUAACUACGUGCCAGCCGCCGCGGUAACAC
rnacentral:rRNA from 1 species